rnacentral:rRNA from 1 species
UACGUAGGUGGCGAGCGUUGUCCGGAAUUACUGGGUGUAAAGGGAGCGCAGGCGGGGAGCCAAGUUGGAUGUGAAAUACCGCAGCUUAACUGCGGGGCUGCAUCCAAAACUGGUUUUCUUGAGUGAAGUAGAGGUAGGCGGAAUUCCUAGUGUAGCGGUGAAAUGCGUAGAUAUUAGGAGGAACACCAGUGGCGAAGGCGGCCUACUGGGCUUUAACUGACGCUGAGGCUCGAAAGCGUGGGGAGCAAACAGG